UUGGUACUUGAUGCCUCUCCCUCAGUAGUUUCCCUGUGUAGAGGGUUGAUAGAUUGGUACGUGAUGCCUCUCCCUCAGUAGUUUGCCUGUGUAGACGGUUGAUAGAUUGGUACAUGAUGCCUCUCCCUCAGUAGUUUGCCUGUGAAAACGGUUGAUAGAUUGGUACAUGAUGCCUCUCCCUCAGUAGUUUGCCUGUGUAGACGGUUGAUAGAUUGGUACAUGAUGCCUCUCCCUCAGUAGUUUGCCUGUGUAGACGGUUGAUAUAUUGGUAUGUGAUGCCUCUCCCUCAGUAGUUUCCCUGUGUAGACGGUUGAUAGAUUGGUACGUGAUGCCUCUCCCUCAGUUUCCCUGUGUAGACGGUUGAUAGAUUGGUACGUGAUUCCUCUCCCUCAGUUUCCCUGUGUAGACAGUUGAUAUAUUGGUAUGCGAUGCCUCUCCCUCAGUAGUUUCCCUGUGUAGACGGUUGAUAGAUUGGUACGUGAUGCCUCUCCCUCAGUUUCCCUGUGUAGACGGUUGAUAGAUUGGUACAUGAUGCCUCUCCCUCAGUAGUUUGCCUGUGUAGACGGUUGAUAGAUUGGUACAUGAUGCCUCUCCCUCAGUAGUUUGCCUGUGUAGACGGUUGAUAGAUUGGUACAUGAUGCCUCUCCCUCAGUAGUUUGCCUGUGUAGAUGGUUGAUAGAUUGGUACAUGAUGCCUCUCCCUCAGUAGUUUGCCUGUGUAGACGGUUGAUAGAUUGGUACAUGAUGCCUCUCCCUCAGUAGUUUGCCUGUGUAGACGGUUGAUAGAUUGGUACAUGAUGCCUCUCCCUCAGUAGUUUGCCUGUGUAGACGGUUGAUAGAUUGGUACAUGAUGCCUCUCCCUCAGUAGUUUGCCUGUGUAGAUGGUUGAUAGAUUGGCACAUGAUGCCUCUCCCUCAGUAGUUUGCCUGUGUAGAUGGUUGAUAGAAAGUUGUACUAAAUUAAUGUCUUCUUCCGUAGCUUGCUUAGCAUGCUCUCCCAUCAAGAAAAUGGAGUGUGGUGUGUGAAGAUGUGAUGUGUGAAGAUUUGAGGACGGGAAUUGGUGUGAAGAUUUGAGGACGGGAAUUGGUGUGAAGAUUUGAGGACGGGAAUUGGAUAUGUGUACCAAUAUGAAACUCCGGCUGGAUCUGAAAUUGAGGUGUACUCAAACAGUGUUUGUGGAGAUCUUAUGACUCCAAUAGCCUACUGUGGCAUGAACAAGCCUUUUGAGGCACAUCUCUCUGAUAAGGUGAUAAAUGUGAACAACAGUGCUGUCAUCCUCUCUGAAUGCCUGAAUCUGACAUUCACAUUCUUUCAUGUUCUCCAGGGCAAGGUGGAGGAGCGCCAUUUGUAUUACAUUGUUGCAGGGCAAGGUGGAGGAGUGCCAUUUGUAUUACAUUGUUGCAGGAAAUGGAGACAAAGCCAAAGCCACUGGCCACACAAAGGAAAUCACUGCUGGUGUUCUUGGUUCUGCUGCUGGGCAUUGCUGGUUUCUUAGUGUACAGAUAUGGCAACAUUCCUUGGAGAGACAAACAUCCCUUAGAUCGGCUGGGUCGGGACUACCUUAACACCAACAGGGAAAAACAAAGGUGAGUCAGACUCUGUCAACCUGAGGACAGUUUUAGUAGUUACGUGGUUUAAUGUGCUGAAGUGUUUCAUGUUACAUGACUAAAUAUCAGUUAUCAUGCCAGACAACAGCUUAGAGCAGCAAGAAGUAACACGUGUUGUUGUUUUAACUUCUCUAAGGGACAACGGAGAACCUGAUCCAGCUGCUGGGGACGCCGAGUCUCUCCGAUAUGCGCUUGUCUAUAAUCUAUAACUGCAUGUGUCCCUUUGAACCAUCAGGGACCAGGGGGAUGGGGUGGAAGAGGAGAGGGAGCCACCACACAGUCAGGAGACACAUGUUGAGUCCUCUCUGCUGAAUGGGCAUCUUGUGAACAGGUUAACCUUUCUCUGAGAAAGACCCUCAUUACUUCAUUACCGGUUGGGUUUCAUUAUCCUCAGUCAGAGCUGAUCCCAUGAGUCAUUGAUCCCACAGGUUUAAUAGAAAGACCCGUUUGUUUAACACGUGCUCCUUAUAUUCUAAUACCUGUAAUACCUAAUGAGCAUGGUAAAUGCUCAUGCAAGGAGAGAGAGGUGAGCCCAUUCAGCCAAUGGGCCGUGAGGGAACAGAUACUGAAUUCUCUCAGAAGAGAAAUGCUGGAUUUCAUUUUGAGACAGUUUGCUACAGCAGGAAAAUAAUCCUGCAGCAACAGGAAAUGUGAAUUGUUACGUGAGUUGAUAGAUUUUUCAUUAGGGCAAAUCAAAUCGGUCAUUUUAAGGUAGAAAUUACCAACUUUCAAUGCCCUUUUAAACUUUGAAUACACUACAGGUUUGCAUUUCCUGCUGUGCAGGAAAAUGCUCAGCAACCAAAGAGUGAUCAAUUUAAGAUCGUACCUCUGUAAUCUCACAAUGGGGCAUGUAAUAACGUUUGUCUUGUGGUGGAUCAAUGAUGAUGUCAGGUAAACUUCACUACAUAUUGAUACAUCCACAACUCAUUGGUAUAAUGUCACCAACCCCAUUUUCCCACGGUUCCUCUGUCUGUUUAGGGGACAGUAUUGUGGUGGAUCAUGAAUGUGAAUGUUGAUGUCUUAUUACUCCAACAGGGUUAACGAUGAGACUAAGGAAGCGACUCCUGGUGCACAGAGUCCAGGACCUCCUCAGACGAAUGGAGGACCUCCCAUGUCUGACAGGUUGGAGAACAACCCUGUUGGUCAGUGGAUGAAGAAAACUGCUCUGGUGAACAAGCAGGACCAGGACUGGUCAGCAACGGCAUGAAGCCAGUUGAAAAUAUAUAGCAUAUAAGAUGAAACUAAGUGUAAAUAUAAUAAAAAAUAACAUGAUAUACACUGUAAUAUAGAACAGUAUAAUAUAAUAUGACAUGAUAUAAUAUCGUAACACUUACUUGUAUAGUGUUAUAUAUUCUAAUGAAUGCAUUCUUAACAACAUGAAUGAUGCAUUAAUGCAUACAUAGGACAUAACUGUAUAGUAAAAUUAUAAUAUAAUACUGUGCUGGUAAGCUGCUAGCUGUGGGGUUGCCCCCAGCUGUGGUUUCUAUUAUUCAGAGUAUCUAAGCUCAACUUCAAAUCCAUAGUUUUUAGCUUAGUUCUUACCGUAAACUAGCACUUCUUAGAGACAAAGUUAUGGGACAUGCUGUAUAACUACUUACCAUUCUGAAGUGUAACAGUCAAGUUUAUAUGUAACAAUUGUUCAUCCCUUUUUUAAAUGUUUAUUUAUAUAUUUGUUUGCUUGAUUAGAUUGAAUUAGUAUGACUAAUGCAUUAUUUUACCCUCCCGUAUAGAGGGACAUUAUUUUACCCUCCUGUAUAGAGGGACAUUAUUUUACCCUCCUGUAUAGAGGGACAUUAUUUUACCCUC
ensembl:lncRNA